rnacentral:rRNA from 1 species
AUUGAACGCUGGCGGCAUGCCUAACACAUGCAAGUCGAACGGUAACAGGCCCUUCGGGUGGCUGACGAGUGGCGGAUGGGUGAGUAAUACUUAGGAAUCUACCCUGUAGUGGGGGACGAACCCGGGGAAACGUACGGGCGUAAUACCGCAUACGCUCUACGGAGGAAAGACGGGGGACCGGCAAGGCCUCGCGCUAUUGGAUGAGCCUAAGCCCGAUUAGCUAGUUGGUGGGGUAAGUAGCCUACCAAGGCAAUGAUCGGUAGCUGGUCUGAGAGGACGACCAGCCACACUGGGACUGAGACACGGCCC